rnacentral:rRNA from 1 species
CGAGGGGUCCAAGCGUUGUUCGGAAUCAUUGGGCGUAAAGCGGGUGUAGGUGGCUUUGUAAGUCAGAAGUGAAAUCCCCGAGCUUAACUUGGGAAGUGCUUUUGAAACUGCAGAGCUUGAGUGUGGGAGAGGAUCGUGGAAUUCCAGGUGUAGUGGUGAAAUACGUAGAUAUCUGGAGGAACACCGGUGGCGAAGGCGGCGAUCUGGCCCAACACUGACACUGAGACCCGAAAGCGUGGGGAUCAAACAGGAUUAGAUACCCUGGUAGUCCACGCCGUAAACGAUGGAUACUUGGUGUUGGAGGUAUUGACCCCUUCAGUGCCGGAGCUAACGCGUUAAGUAUCCCGCCUGGGGAGUACGGCCGCAAGGUUA